GUAGGUGAACCUGCGGAAGGAUCAUUAAAAAUGAAGCCGGGAAACCGGUCCUUCUAACCCUUGAUUAUCUCAAUUUGUUGCUUUGGUGGGCCGCGCAAGCACCGGCUUCGGCUGGAUCGUGCCCGCCGAAGACACCCUCGAACUCUGUCUGAAGAUUGUAGUCUGAGUGAAAAUAUAAAUUAUUUAAAACUUUCAACAACGGAUCUCUUGGUUCCG
rnacentral:misc_RNA from 1 species